GACGUUGAUAGGCUGGGUGUGUAAGCGCAGCGAUGCGUUGAGCUAACCGGUACUAAUGAACCGUGAGGCUUAACCUUACAACGCCGAAGGUGUUU
rnacentral:rRNA from 1 species